AGGGUUCGAUUCUGGCUCAGGAUGAACGCUAGCUAUAGGCUUAACACAUGCAAGUCGAGGGGCAGCAUAACGAAAGCUUGCUUUGUUGAUGGCGACCGGCGCACGGGUGAGUAACGCGUAUCCAACCUUCCCUAUAGUAGAGAAUAGCCCGGCGAAAGUCGGAUUAAUGCUCUAUGUUGUAUUUAGAAGACAUCUGAAGAAUACCAAAGGUUCACCGCUAUAGGAUGGGAUGCGUCUGAUUAGGUAGUAGGCGGGGUGACGGCCCACCUAGCCGACGAUCAGUAGGGGUUCUGAGAGGAAGGUCCCCCACAUUGGAACUGAGACACGGUCCAAACUCCUACGGGAGGCAGCAGUGAGGAAUAUUGGUCAAUGGACGGAAGUCUGAACCAGCCAAAGUAGCGUGCAGGAUGACGGCCCUAUGGGUUGUAAACUGCUUUUAUAUAGGGAUAAAGUCGGGGACGUGUCCCCGUUUGUAGGUACUAUAUGAAUAAGGACCGGCUAAUUCCGUGCCAGCCGCCGC
rnacentral:rRNA from 1 species